CUAGGGACCUGUGGUGAUUUGGCCGGCCGGCUUGCAGCCACGUUAAACAACUUGCUAAAGGGCCGUGCGUCACGGACC
rnacentral:ncRNA from 2 species